rnacentral:snoRNA from 1 species
AACCAUGCUAAUACUGAUGUCUUGUGACUGAAUCAAAGUUAUGUGUCUGAGGGA